rnacentral:rRNA from 1 species
GACGAACGCUGGCGGCGUGCUUAACACAUGCAAGUCGAACGGAAAGACCCUGCUCUUGUGGGUUGCUCGAGUGGCGAGCGGGGGAGUAACACGUGAGUAACCUGCCCUUAAAUUUGGGAUAAAAUCAGGAAACUGGGGAUAAUAUCGGAUAGAAGCUACUGCUGCGUGGUGGUGGUUAGAAAGUUUCGGCGGUUGGGGAUGUACUCGCGGCUUAUCCGCUUGUUUGUGUGGUAGUGGCUUACCAAGGCUUUGACGGGUAGCCGGCCUGAGAGGGUGACCGGCCACAUUGGGACUGAGAUACGGCCCAGACUCCUACGGGAGGCAGCAGUGGGGAGUAUUGCACAAUGGGCGGAAGCGUGAUGCAGCAACGCUGCGUGCGGGAUGACGUCCUUCGGGUUGUAAACAGAUGUCGACUGUGAUGAAGCGUGAUUGACGGUAAUGAGUAAAGAAGCAACGGCUAACUACGUG